GACGAACGCUGGCGGCGUGCUUAACACAUGCAAGUCGAACGGAAAGACCCUGCGUUUGUUGGUUUCUCGAUUGGCGAGCGGGGGAGUAACACGUGAGUAACCUCCCCUUAAAUUUCUGGUAACUUCAGGAAACUGGGGCGAAUACCGGGUAGGAUCUCCUGCUGCAUAGUGGUGGUUGGAAAGUUUCGGCUGUGGUGGCUCGACUAGCUGGUUAUCAGCUUGUUGGGCGGGUAGUGGCUUACCAAGGCUUUGACGGGUAGCCCGCCUGAGAGGGUGAACGGCCACCUUGGGCCUGAGAUAGGGACCAGAAUCGUACGGGCGGCAGCAGUCGAGAAUAUUGCAGAAUGGGGGGACGCGAGAUGCAGCAAUGUCGCGUGCGUGAUGCCGGGUUUUGGGUUGUAAACAGCUUUCGACUGUGAUGAAGAGUGAGUGACGGUAAUGGGUAAAGAAGCCACGGCUAACUACGUG
rnacentral:rRNA from 1 species